rnacentral:lncRNA from 1 species
GUCCUGACAGAGCAUCACUUUUUUUUACUGUAAACCACAUGAAUCCCAGGGUUCAGAGACUUAUUUAAAUGCCCAUGUGAUGGUCCCAGUUUUGAGGAAAAAAAUCAGAAAAAAAUUCUUUAUCAGACCAGGUUUCCAAAACCACCAUGUCACAUCCCUGCUGAAAUAGUUGGGAUAGUGAUAAUACCCUGAUGGCUUUAUAGCCUGGAUCUCAGAUAUAGGUUGAAUCAUAUUUACUAGCAUCAAAUCUGGAAUGUAACUCCAAAGAAGGACUCAAAAGGCCAGCAUGUUUACAUUUAUUAAAACUAAUAGAGAAGCUGAAAAUCAAAGUCAGUCUUCUGGUUUCUUGAAGGUAGUUAGAAAUAUUACUUCAUUGCAGAGGUCUUAAAAAUGACACCUUAAAAUAUUUCCUCUUUUGCUCUUUACAGGACCUGAAAUUUCACUCUCUCCAGCUCUUUCAGGCUUUAAAGAGUUCUAUGAAACUAAGAACUGCAGAUAGGAGUGAUAUUUUAAGUAACUCACCAGAUAUCAUGAAUGUGACUCCUGCCUUCUUUUCCUCAGUUGAUGCUCCAUCCACUUACCUUCACCAUUGUAAUGUCCCUGAACAAUCUGCAGGGAUCUAGGAGAAAAACACUAUCCACAAGCAGAGGACAAACUGUGGGAGUGGAAACACCGAGGAAAAGCAACUGCUUGACUACGGCAGUUGAGGGGACAUGUCUGAGAAGAGACUCUAAAUGAACACUCUGAUGCAAAUACUAACAACAUGGCAAAGGGUUAGAAUCAAGAACACAUGUGAUAUCCAGUGGAAUCACACGUCGGCUAAGGGGGGGAGGAAAAGAAACUGAUCUUUGUCUCUAAUGAAUAAUGCUUGGAAAUGAUCAAAUAAAAUAUUAUUUAAAAAAAAAGAAAAAUAUAAG